rnacentral:rRNA from 1 species
CCCUUAGAUGUUCUGGGCCGCACGCGCGCUACACUGACGAAUGCAACGAGCUUAUAACCUUGUCCGAAAGGUCUGGGUAAUCUCCAAAUUUCGUCGUGAUGGGGAUAGAUUAUUGCAAUUAUUAAUCUUCAACGAGGAAUGCCUAGUAAGCGCAAGUCAUCAGCUCGCGUUGAUUACGUCCCUGCCCUUUGUACACACCGCCCGUCGCUCCUACCGAUUGAAUGGUCCGGUGAAGCGUUCGGACCGUGGCCUUUGGACGGUUCGCCGUCUGUUGGCUGCGGGAAGUUCGUUAAACCUUAUCAUUUAGAGGAAGGAGAANUCGUANCA